rnacentral:rRNA from 1 species
GUAGUCCACGCCGUAAACGAUGAGUGCUAGGUGUCAGGGGUAUCGACCCCCCUGGUGCCGCAGCUAACGCAAUAAGCACUCCGCCUGGGGAGUACGGCCGCAAGGUUGAAACUCAAAGGAAUUGACGGGGGCCCGCACAAGCGGUGGAGCAUGUGCAUUAAUUCGUCACUAACCGAAGAACCUUACCAGGGUUUGACAUCUCCGGACAGUCCGUGAAAGCGGAUCUUCCCCGCAAGGGGACUGGAAGACAGGUGUUGCAUGGUUGUCGUCAGCUCGUGUCGUGAGAUGUUGGGUUAAGUCCCGCAACGAGCGCAACCCUCACCCAAUGUUGCCAGCGUAAAGUCGGGAACUCUUUGGGAACUGCCCGUGUAAGCGGGA